GAGUUUGAUCUUGGCUCAGAUUGAGCGCUGGCGGCAUGCCUUACACAUGCAAGUCGAACGGCAGCAUGAUCUAGCUUGCUAGAUUGAUGGCGAGUGGCGAACGGGUGAGUAAUACAUCGGAACGUGCCCUGUAGUGGGGAUAACUAGUCGAAAGAUUAGCUAAUACCGCAUACGACCUGAGGGUGAAAGUGGGGGACCGCAAGGCCUCAUGCUAUAGGAGCGGCCGAUGUCUGAUUAGCUAGUUGGUGGGGUAAAGGCCCACCAAGGCGACGAUCAGUAGCUGGUCUGAGAGGACGAUCAGCCACACUGGGACUGAGACACGGCCCAGACUCCUACGGGAGGCAGCAGUGGGGAAUUUUGGACAAUGGGCGAAAGCCUGAUCCAGCAAUGCCGCGUGUGUGAAGAAGGCCUGGUUGUAAGUCACUUUGUCGGUAACGAAAGUAGCGUCUGGUUAAUACUGGGUCGAGUGACGGUACC
rnacentral:rRNA from 1 species